UGUUGACCUCGGAUCAGGGAGGAAUACCCGCUGAACUUA
rnacentral:rRNA from 1 species